GCGGGGGUGGCAGAGCCUGGUCAAAUGCGUUAGCUUCAGAGGCUAAUCCCUUAGCGGGUACGCAGGUUCGAAUCCUGCCCCCCGCA
rnacentral:tRNA from 1 species